rnacentral:misc_RNA from 1 species
GUUGUAGUUGCUAGACAAGUGGAGGCUUAUAUAAGAGAAUUUUUUGACCAGAAUCCCCUGAGUCAAAUUGGCUUGGUGAUCUUGAAAGAUGGAGUAGCUCAUUGCUUAACAGAUCUUGGUGGCAGUCCCGAGGCUCAUAUCAAGGCAUUGAUGGGUAAAUUGGGGACCUCUGGUGAUGCAUCCCUUCAGAAUGGCCUAGAUCUUGUGUGUGAUCUCCUAAAUCAAAUCCCAUCGUAUGGUCAUCGUGAAGCCCUUAUCUUGUAUUCAGCUCUUAGCACAUGUGAUCCGGGGGAUAUACUGGAAACCAUCCAAAAAUGCAAAGCGUCCAAGAUAAGGUGCUCAGUAAUUGGUCUCUCUGCAGAACUCUACAUAUGCAAGCAUCUCUGCCAAGAGACUGGUGGAAUGUAUUUUGUUGCAUUGGAUGAGCCUCAUUUAAAAGAGUUGGUAUUGGAGCAUGCCCCACCUCCUCCAGCUAUUGCAGAGUUCGCUGUUGCAAAUUUGAUUAAGAUGGGGUUCCCCCAAAGAACAGCAGAGGGUGUCAUUUCAAUUUGUUCAUGUCAUAAAGAGGCUAAAGUUGGUGGUGGAUACACUUGUCCGAGAUGCAAAGCGCGCAUAUGUGAGCUGCCUACUGAGUGUUGCAUUUGCGGACUGACCCUUGUAUCUUCUCCACAUUUGGCAAGGUCAUAUCACCAUCUCUUCCCAAUAAGGCCAUUUGAUGACGUUUCACCCUCAGCUCUGAAAGAUUUUCACAAGUUACCAAAGAAUUGCUUUGGUUGCCAACUGAGUCUUCUAAAUCCUGGAAAUUUGCCAGGUCCGCAGGUUGCUUGUCCAAACUGCAAACAACACUUCUGCCUUGAUUGUGAUAUUUAUAUACAUGAGAGCUUGCACAAUUGUCCAGGUUGUGAGAGCUUAAGGAAUUCCAAGACCAUUAGUGAUAUGGAAGAAUGAUAAGGAUGUAUAUUUCUGAAGUGGUUUGUUCCUCAAACGGAACAAGCUAAAUGGCAAAAUGUAAUGUUAUGUUGGAUGUCCUUUCCAAGUACCAGAAAUCUUGUUUUACAGCAUGUCGUGACGAAAAGUCAAGCUGGCUGCUUUCAUAGGAUUUUUACUGUUGGAUCCAAGCCAAUUUUUAUGGAACAGCUAUGGGAGACACCACUACUAAUCUCAAAGGUAAAACUUCUAUGGUCUAAUCCAACGAUUUGUAGCAAUGCAGGAUCACGGCAUACUGUAUAUCAUUCAUAUGUCACAAACAGAUUGUUGUUUCUUUGUACCCUCAAAUUCUGACUUAAAAAGAAGAAAAAAAGGAAGACAGUGAUAAGAUGUGUUUUACCUUUGAGCCUCAGGAUUUUGACAUUUAUUUAUGGGACAAUCCAUUGGUGAAAUCACUUUUUAGUGCAUUUCAAAGGGUAGAGGCCUUUACUACGGGUAGAUGAGUAUAAUUUAUCAGCGAUUGUUAAGCCAAGAGAUAUGUUCAGGACACUUAACAUUACAUUAGCUCUUAUGAUAUGUUAUGGCCAUGCCACCACCGAGAAUGACACUUUUGCUGGAAUACCGAUGCUGGUUUUUGCAUACUAUAAGUUGAUUUAAAUCAAGCACACUCGAGCCUGCAUCGGUUUUAUUGGGUUCAAUUCAAUUUUUGUUGUUCAGUUUCAGCUCAGUUAUUUGGUAUGGACUGGUAUGCAGGGAUUCGAAAUCAAGUUAGUAUUUAUAAAUUUACUUUUGAUAAUUGUGAUAUUCAAGUUCACAGUGCUUGAUAACAGUGACUUGCUGGAUUACACAAGAUGCCAUUGAAUUUGCUUGUGAAAAAUACAUUUAUGCUAUGU